rnacentral:rRNA from 1 species
GAUGAACGCUGGCGGCGUGCCUAAUACAUGCAAGUAGGACGCACAGUUUAUACCGUAGCUUGCUACACCAUAGACUGUGAGUUGCGAACGGGUGAGUAACGCGUAGGUAACCUGCCUAUUAGAGGGGGAUAACUAUUGGAAACGAUAGCUAAUACCGCAUAACAGUAUGUAACACAUGUUAGAUGCUUGAAAGAUGCAAUUGCAUCGCUAGUAGAUGGACCUGCGUUGUAUUAGCUAGUAGGUAGGGUAAUGGCCUACCUAGGCGACGAUACAUAGCCGACCUGAGAGGGUGAUCGGCCACACUGGGACUGAGACACGGCCCAGACUCCUACGGGAGGCAGCAGUAGGGAAUCUUCGGCAAUGGGGGGAACCCUGACCGAGCAACGCCGCGUGAGUGAAGAAGGUUUUCGGAUCGUAAAGCUCUGUUGUUAAGGAAGAACGAGUGUGAAAAUGGAAAGUUCAUACUGUGACGGUACUUAACCAGAAAGGGACGGCUAACUACGUGCCAGCAGCCGCGGUAAUACGUAGGUCCCGAGCGUUGUCCGGAUUUAUUGGGCGUAAAGCGAGCGCAGGCGGUUAGAAAAGUCUGAAGUGAAAGGCAGUGGCUCAACCAUUGUAGGCUUUGGAAACUGUUUAACUUGAGUGCAGAAGGGGGAGAGUGGAAUUCCAUGUGUAGCGGUGAAAUGCGUAGAUAUAUGGAGGAACACCGGUGGCGAAAGCGGCUCUCUGGUCUGUAACUGACGCUGAGGCUCGAAAGCGUGGGGGAGCGAACAGG